AUUGAACGCUGGCGGCAGGCCUAACACAUGCAAGUCGAGCGGAGCGGCGGAUGGGUGAGUAAUGCCUAGGACUCUGCCUGGUAGUGGGGGAUAACGUCCGGACACGGGCGCUAAUACCGCAUACUAUCAGAUGAGCCUAGGUGUAAUAAGCUAGUUGGUGGGGUAAAGGCCUACCAAGGCGGCGAUCCGUAACUGGUCUGAGAGGAUGAUCAGUCACGCGGGAACUGAGACACGGUCCAGACUCCUCCGGGAGGCAGCAGAGGGAAAUAUUGGACAAGGGGCGAAAGCCUGAUCCAGCCAUGCCGCGUAUGUGAAGAAGGUCUUCGGAUUGUAAGGCACUUUAAGUUGGGAGGCGUUACCAACAGAAUGAGCACCGGCUAACUACGUGCCAGCAGCCGCGGUAAUUC
rnacentral:rRNA from 1 species